UACAUAUAUAUACAUACAUGCAUAUGGUCUAGUGCCGGCCUGGCCAACUCAAAUUACAUUGUGGGCCACUUUAAUCACAGUAAGUUUUUUGAAGACUGCUUGUAUACUGACAGGAUUGAAAGCAUUUUGCUUUCUCAU